rnacentral:rRNA from 1 species
UGCCAGCAGCCGCGGUAAUACAGAGGUCUCAAGCGUUGUUCGGAAUCACUGGGCGUAAAGGGUGCGUAGGUGGCGUGGUAAGUCAGAUGUGAAAGCCCGGGGCUCAACCUCGGAACAGCAUCCGAUACUGCCGUGCUAGAGUACUGAAGAGGUGACUAGAAUUCUCGGUGUAGCAGUGAAAUGCGUAGAUAUCGAGAGGAAUACCAAAGGCGAAGGCAGGUCACUGGGCAGUUACUGACACUGAGGCACGAAGGCCAGGGGAGCAAACGGGAUUAGAUACCCCGGUAGUCCUGGCAGUAAACGGUGCACGUUUGGUGUGGGCGCAAUCGACCGCGUCCGCGCCGGAGCUAACGCGUUAAACGUGCCGCCUGGGAAGUACGGUCGCAAGAUUAAAACUUAAAGGAAUUGGCGGGGGAC